UACGUAGGGGGCUAGCGUUGUCCGGAUUUAUUGGGCGUAAAGAGCUCGUAGGCGGUUCGGCAAGUCGGGUGUGACAACUCCAGGCUCAACCUGGAGAGGUCACUCGAUACUGCUGUGACUAGAGUCCGGUAGGGGAGCAUGGAAUUCCCGGUGUAGCGGUGAAAUGCGCAUGUAUCGGGAGGAACACCAGUGGCGAAGGCGGUGCUCUGGGCCGGAACUGACGCUGAGGAGCGAAAGCGUGGGUAGCAAACAGG
rnacentral:rRNA from 1 species